rnacentral:rRNA from 1 species
CCUACGGGAGGCAGCAGUGAGGAAUAUUGGUCAAUGGCCGUAAGUCUGAACCAGCCAAGUAGCGUGAGGGAUGACUGCCCUAUGGGUUGUAAACUUCUUUUAUGCGGGGAUAAAGCGGGCCACGUGUGCCUUUUUGCAUGUACUUUAUGAAUAAGGACCGGCUAACUCCGUGCCAGCAGCCGCGGUAAUACGGAGGGUCCGCGCGUUAUCCGGAUUUAUUGGGUUUAAAGGGAGCGUAGGUCGGUCGUUAAGCCAGUCGUGAAAUUUUGCGGCUCAACCGUGAGAGUGCAGUGCAUACUGGAAGUCUUGAGUGCAGGGGAGGUAGGCGGAAUUCGUGGUGUAGCGGUGAAAUGCUUAGAUAUCACGAAGAACCCCGAUUGCGAAGGCAGCCUACUAAAGUGUGACUGACACUGAUGCUCGAAAGCGCGGGUAUCAAACAGGUUUAGAUACCCGUGUAGUC